AGAGUUUGAUCCUGGCUCAGGAUGAACGCUAGCUACAGGCUUAACACAUGCAAGUCGAGGGGCAGCAUGAAAGUUUGCUUGCAAACUUUUGAUGGCGACCGGCGCACGGGUGAGUAACACGUAUCCAACCUGCCUCAUACUCGGGGAUAGCCUUUCGAAAGAAAGAUUAAUACCCGAUGUCAUAGUCCUACCGCAUGAUGGGAUUAUUAAAGAAUUUCGGUAUGGGAUGGGAUGCGUUCCAUUAGUUAGUUGGCGGGGUAACGGCCCACCAAGACAACGAUGGAUAGGGGUUCUGAGAGGAAGGUCCCCCACAUUGGAACUGAGACACGGUCCAAACUCCUACGGGAGGCAGCAGUGAGGAAUAUUGGUCAAUGGACGAGAGUCUGAACCAGCCGAGUAGCGUGAAGGAUGACUGCCCUAUGGGUUGUAAACUUCUUUUAUAUGGGAAUAAAAUGUUCCACGUGUGGGAUUUUGUAUGUACCAUAUGAAUAAGGAUCGGCUAACUCCGUGCCAGCAGCCGCGGUAAUACGGAGGAUCCGAGCGUUAUCCGGAUUUAUUGGGUUUAAAGGGAGCGUAGGUGGAUUGUUAAGUCAGUUGUGAAAGUUUGCGGCUCAACCGUAAAAUUGCAGUUGAAACUGGCAGUCUUGAGUACAGUAGAGGUGGGCGGAAUUCGUGGUGUAGCGGUGAAAUGCUUAGAUAUCACGAAGAACUCCGAUUGCGAAGGCAGCUCACUGGACUGCAACUGACACUGAGGCUCGAAAGUGUGGGUAUCAAACAGGAUUAGAUACCCUGGUAGUCCACACAGUAAACGAUGAAUACUCGCUGUUUGCGAUAUACGGCAAGCGGCCAAGCGAAAGCAUUAAGUAUUCCACCUGGGGAGUACGCCGGCAACGGUGAAACUCAAAGGAAUUGACGGGGGCCCGCACAAGCGGAGGAACAUGUGGUUUAAUUCGAUGAUACGCGAGGAACCUUACCCGGGCUUAAAUUGCACCUGAAUAAUGUGGAAACAUGUUAGCCGUAAGGCAGGUGUGAAGGUGCUGCAUGGUUGUCGUCAGCUCGUGCCGUGAGGUGUCGGCUUAAGUGCCAUAACGAGCGCAACCCUUAUCUUCAGUUACUAACAGGUCAUGCUGAGGACUCUGGAGAGACUGCCGUCGUAAGAUGUGAGGAAGGUGGGGAUGACGUCAAAUCAGCACGGCCCUUACGUCCGGGGCUACACACGUGUUACAAUGGGAGGUACAGAAGGCCGCUACCUGGCGACAGGAUGCCAAUCCCCAAAACCUCUCUCAGUUCGGAUCGAAGUCUGGAACCCGACUUCGUGAAGCUGGAUUCGCUAGUAAUCGCGCAUCAGCCAUGGCGCGGUGAAUACGUUCCCGGGCCUUGUACACACCGCCCGUCA
rnacentral:rRNA from 1 species